GGCUUAAUGGUCUAGUGGUAUGAUUCUUGCUUUGGGUUUCACAAUCACAAUUGCAAGAGGUCCUUGGUUCAAUUGUAAGUUGCCU